GAUGAAGAACGCAGCGAAAUGCGAUAAGUAGUGUGAAUUGCAGAAUUCAGUGAAUCAUCGAAUCUUUGAACGCACAUUGCGCCCCUUGGUAUUCCGAGGGGCAUGCCUGUUCGAGCGUCAUUUCACCACUCAAGCCUGGCUUGGUGUUGGGCGACGUCCUCUUUGGGGACGCGCCUCGAAACGCUCGGCGGCGUGGCACCGGCUUUAAGCGUAGCAGAAUCUUUCGCUUUGGAAGUCGGGGCCCCGUCUGCCGGAAGACCUGCUCGCAAGGUUGACCUCGGAUCAGGCAGGGAUACCCGCUGAACUUAAGCAUAUCAAUAAGCGGAGGA
rnacentral:misc_RNA from 1 species